rnacentral:rRNA from 1 species
GACGAACGCUGGCGGUGUGCUUAACACAUGCAAGUCGAACGGAAAGGCCCUGCUUUCGUGGGGUGCCCGAGUGGCGAACGGGUGAGUAACACGUGAGUAACCUGCUCUUGACUUUGGGAUAACUUCAGGAAACUGGGGCUAAUACCGGAUAGGAGCUCCCGCUGCAUGGUGGGGGUUGGAAAGUUUCGGCGGUCGGGGAUGGACUCGCGGCUUAUCAGCUUGCUGGUGGGGGAGUGGCUUACCAAGGCUUUGACGGGUAGGCGGCCUGAGAGGGUGACCGGCCACAUGAGGACUGAGAUACGGCCCAGACUCCUACGGGAGACAGCAGUGGGGAAUAUUGCACAGUGGGAGGGAGCCUGAUGCGGCGGCGCCGCGUGCGGGAUGACGGCCUUCUGGUUGUGAACCGCUUUCGCCUGUGACGAAGCGUGUGUGACGGUAAUGGGUGAAGAAGCACCGGCUAACUACGUG